rnacentral:rRNA from 1 species
CCUACGGGAGGCAGCAGUGAGGAAUAUUGGACAAUGGGCUUACGCCUGAACCAGCCAAGUCGCGUGAGGGAAGAAUUCCCUAUGGGUUGUAAACCUCUUUUGUCAGGGAGCAAUUGACGCUACGUGUAUCGUUAGCGAGAGUACCUUAAGAACAAGCAUCGGCUAACUCCGUUCCAGGAGCCGCGUUAAUACGGAGGAUGCGAGGGUUAUCCGGAUUUGUUGGGGUUACAGGGUGCGUAGGCGGAAUGCGAAGUCAGCGGUAAAAUCGCGGGGCUCAACCUCGCUCCGCUGUUGAAACUGGCGUUCUUGAGUGGGCGAGAAGUAUGCGGAAUGCGUGGUGUAGCGGUGAAAUGCAUAGAUAUCACGCAGAACUCCGAUUGCGAAGGCAGCAUACCGGCGUCCAACUGACGCUGAAGCACGAAAGCGUGGGUAGCGAACAGGAUUAGAUACCCUAGUAGUC